CAGGCCGGCCGAAGCUCUGGUUCUGGCACGGCUCCCGCAUGCCCUCUCUUCCCCACCCCCUCCUCCGGUCAAAGAGGAGGGUCUGCUCACCAGCCCCGAGAAAAAUCUGGUGGAGGCCUCUGCCUGAGUCAGUAAGUGUAGAUGAAAAAGACAUUGAAUUGGAAUUAGAGUACCUGAGUACAAAAUUUGGCUCUGCUGUGUGACCUUGGGUGAAUGAACUCCAGAAAGCCAGUCUCCUGGGGACCUGUCUACCUCCCACCCCUUGAGAGGCAAAUUGAAGUCUAGACAGAGAUGGGCUCCUAGAGGAGAGGCCCCUGCUGGCUUUGUUUCCCUCCUUCCCUGUCCACACACACAUCACGACCACCCCCCCCCCCC